rnacentral:lncRNA from 1 species
UUUCUGUUCUUACAAAAUCCGUUGGAUUUAAUUAAUUAUCUGGAUUUUUGUUCUCUCAAAAUCCAUGGGUAGUAUAUAUUACCCCAUCAUCGCGGCUGAAUCUCAAAGAUUGGGCCCAAGUGUUGUAAAUAUGAUUAUGCAUGUGUCAGAUUAAAGAUUGUACAGAUGUGGAUAGUUGGACUUGAAUGUUCUGGUGGUUGUUGGAUUUGAAGAUCAACAUUUGGUACUUUUUUGUUUUGUUUUCUUAUUUUGUUGUGGUUUUGGUAUCUAAAGAUGAUGAACAAUGGUUUGUGUUUUUUCUUUUUAUUCAAAGAGGAACAACAAUUUGGGUUUCAAAGAAGCAAGAGAGUUCUGAUGAACAAGAGUUUGGGGCUUUCUUCGAUCGAUUCUGAUAGUUUUGAGGAUUUUGAUGUUUUUUACUUAGUCUGAAUGUAUUAAUUUUUGG